GAGAAGAGUAAGACUGGCCAACCAGGUAGUUCAAGUACUAUAAAGGGAUUACAGAAAACCAAAGGGCAGCAACCUGUAACACAUGGAACAAUGGCUGUUGAAAAGGGUAUUAGCAAUCUGAGCCUCAUAGAUUCAAGAUCAGAGCGGAUAGAAGCCUGGCGGUAAAAGAAGCACCUUCUUUCUGGAUUGGAAAUUGGUUCUGACAUUGUGGCACUGUAAUUGUAAGUUUUUUGCUUCUGAAGUGUUGCAACUUGCAAGGACAAGUUUAUGAAGUGGUUCAGUUUUUUCUUUUAUUUCCUCAGUUUGUUUAACUUGUCUGGUUUCAAGAAUGACACAGUGAUUACACUAACUUUGUAAUGAAAUCUCAUUUACCAUGUGUGUUCUCAUAGUUAUUCCAGAAUGAUCCUUGUCAAAAAAAGUUAUUCCAGAAUGAUCAUUCUUCUGCCACUGUUACAUUGUUCAAAUUAAUCACUUCUAGGUCCUUACUCUAACAAUUUGGUCUCCUUCCAAUGGAUGGCUGCUACAAUAGGUUUGUCAAAAUCUUCCAUUAACUGCUAUCAUGAUGAUAUUAUAUGCUAAUUAAUACAAGUUUUAGGUAGUUGGAGAUUUUGAGGGUGUAUGUGGUAGUAGAAGGACCUUAAUAUCAACUUAGAGAAAUCUAAAAAGAAAAUCUAAAAAUGUAUGUUUGUCACUUCCACAAAAUGUUCACAAAUUUGAGAACAUUGGUGACAAAUUUCCUGAAAAUCUGGUAUAUCUAUUUAGAUAUAGUUUUGUAGGGAAAUAGAUAUUCUCAUGUGAAAUUUUUACAUGAUAAGGUUUGUUAGACCUGUUUGCGAUAAAGUCUUCACACAUCAGACAUGAGAAGAGUGAUGAAUCAUAAGGUUUGUUGAACUAAAUCCUUAAGGCAAUUUGAGUAUACACACAUGAACUUACCCAAAAAAAAAUCAUGAGAUAUAGGUAAAAAGGGACUUAAAUGGUUGAGCCCUCUUAAAAUUUGAGACCAGUUGUUAAUGUCUGUGUCUAACUCUUCUACCAUGUAAUCUUAUAAUGUGAAAAUUUCCCCUAAAAAAUUAUGUUGUCAUCUUUUUAGCAAGAGUCAGGACUUACAAUAAAUUACCACUAUUGAGUCAACAGAUAAUUAAGUAGAUUUGAUCAUACAUAUAAAUGUAUCUAAAAAAAACCCAAGCUCUAAGAAAGUUGAAAGAAAAAAAAAAUGUAUAAAAGAAAGAACCAUUUUGGAGCAGGGCAAACAUAAAGGAAGAAAGUGAAUAUUCCUCAUGCUCUUUCCAGCAAUGUUAAAUUACAAGUGGUAGUGGUAUGGUCAGGGUCUAUUCUAUUCUGUAGCCUUAUCCUAUAUUGCACAAAGCAACAUGGGUGCAUGCUGCAUAAUAGAUUUAUCAAUAUAUAUAUAUAUAUAUAUCCACUUGGAACUUGUUUGACCUGAAAGUUUAAACCAGUACAUUGUUCUUUCUUUUGGAAAGAACUAUUAACUUACUGGUCAUUGAUUUGGUAUUAUUUAUCAAGUGCUCUGGAUAACAUUACAAUUAUAGCCAUGUCAAAAGGGUUUUGAUCACUUUUGCUGAGUUACAUUACUUGCAAUUUUCUAUAUGACUAUAUAUAUUUUUAUCACUGUAUAUGUAUAUAAAAUUCUUGUAAUUUUCAAAGCUGUACAAUAUUUGUAGUUAGUUGAAUUUAUCAUGAUAACAUAUGUUAGUGCUAUUUAUCAUGAUGGUCAUUUUUUGUUUAUUUCGUCUGAAAUCCUUUUCGUAACCUGAUGUGUGAUUUUUGGUGUAUUAUUUUUUGUUUUGAUUUUCACAUGUAUGUAGUGCUACUGUUUUUGGAGUUUCAACCGAAUCCAUGCAAUUAUCAUACGACACAAGAGGGAACAGUGUGCCAACAAUUCUGUUACUUAUGCAAAGGCGCUUGUAUGCCCAAGGAGGGUUACAGGUUGAUCACCUAGAUAUUUCUCAGCUUUUCUUCUUAUUCUCUCAAUUUCUCUUGCAAUUGACUUUAACUACUUGACACAAUUUGAGACGAGCCAAAAAACAAAAUAAAAAAGACAGUGUUGCUUUAUAAUACACUACUCCAUAGAGACUAGGCUAUCACUUCAUUUUACAAAUGACUACUUGUAGGUUCCUACUUGGUUAAACAGUUGAUUUUUUACAUGCAGGCAGAGGGGAUUUUCAGAAUUAAUGCAGACAAUACUCAUGAUGAAUAUAUUAGGGAACAAUUAAAUAGGGGACUGGUCCCAGAUAACAUUGAUGUACAUUCUUUGGCUGGACUUAUUAAGGUAUAACAACGGAAGGAUACAUGUUCCAUGCUACAAAAUAGUGAUGCUAUUUGUGACUACUGUUUAUUCUUGUAACUAAAUACUCAUACUCAUUUUACACUAUAUAUGUUCAUUUGAGUUGAUACUCUUGUACUUUUUCAAGGCUUGGUUUAGGGAACUCCCUACCGGUGUUCUGGAUUCUUUAUCGCCAGAGCAUGUAAUGCAAUGCCAGACUGAAGAGAAUUGUGCUGAACUAGCGAGGCAACUGCCUCACACUGAAGCUUCCCUCUUGGACUGGGCUAUCAAUUUGAUGGCUGAUGUAGUCCAACACGAACAUCUGAAUAAGAUGAAUGCACGCAACAUCGCCAUGGUUUUUGCACCAAACAUGACUCGGGUUAGUUCUACAAAAAAUUUAAUUCGCAGGGACUUGCAAGAACAAAAGUAUACAAUGCAUACUAUAUUAGUCCUAUUAUAUUUCUACCUUCUACACUUUAUUAAAUUGCCUUUGGAAAUGUUGGACGUCCAAUUGAAGUCUUGUUCACUAAAGUAGUAUUUUCUGCACUAUUUAUUUGUUUUGAAUAGAUCAUGUAUAUUAGUAUACGGAUAAAGCUGUAAAGGCUUUAGUGAUUCAUUUUACGCCUUGACAAAUCACAUAUAUGAUCUAACUGAUGGUUGGUUUCGGUCAUAUAAUUUUGGUGUUUCGGAUUGCAGAUGGCAGACCCUAUGACAGCAUUGAUGUAUGCAGUUCAAGUGAUGAACUUUUUGAAGACACUUAUAUUAAGAACACUGCGACAAAGAAAAGAUUUUGUGGUAGAACCAUCUCCUGGAUUUUGUUCAGAGCCUUUUGAUGACAAUGAAGACCAUAGUGACCUUUUUUACUCCUUCCAGCAAGAUGCAGCCACCGAAAAUGAAGAGGGCGGGGAAACUUUUGUUUCUGAGAAAGCUGUAUCAGAAUGUUCCCCUGAAUCCCUCCAAAACAUAAAUUCAACUGAAGGAGAGUGCGGCAGUUUGGUGAGCUCCUAUGAGGAUCUACUUUGGAAUGAAGAUUUGCAUUGCGAGUUUCCGCUGAAAGGAAAGGUUGAGAAGAGUAAGACUGGCCAACCAGGUAGUUCAAGUACUAUAAAGGGAUUACAGAAAACCAAAGGGCAGCAACCUGUAACACAUGGAACAAUGGCUGUUGAAAAGGGUAUUAGCAAUCUGAGCCUCAUAGAUUCAAGAUCAGAGCGGAUAGAAGCCUGGCGGUAAAAGAAGCACCUUCUUUCUGGAUUGGAAAUUGGUUCUGACAUUGUGGCACUGUAAUUGUAAGUUUUUUGCUUCUGAAGUGUUGC
rnacentral:lncRNA from 1 species